CUGCGGUGAAGAGAGUCCUUAUAGCUGCAGUCCCAGGAUCUACUAAUAAUCGCACUUUGACAUAGACUGUGUGAGGGAAUCUUGCAGUGUCUCUACAUUUGGGCCUGCAGGGACACAGUCUAUCUCUGGGUAGAUCCAUCUCAGUCAGCCGAUGCCGGCUCGGAGAAUUUGGCAUGUGGGUUGGGGACGGUGGUAGGGUGGGUGGUUUGAUGGGGUUCCGUCUCCCAGGGAGGCUCUCCAUACAGAUCUGUCCCCUGUACGCACCCGCCCUGAAUGCCGUUUGUCCUCGCUGCUUUCAUCGGAAGUCUGUAGAAGCGGGGAUGUACUCCGUUGGUUGAGGGCUUUGGGUGUCGCUGAGCGGUGAGUGGGUCGGGCGUACUUUAGAGUCCCGUGUUGGCUUGCACGAGGGCUAGUGUUGGCGUCCGACAGGUAUGUCUUCGUUUCCUGCCGCCCUGAUCUUACACCUCGUCUCCGUCUGAGGGCCUCUCUGGGGGCUCGGGGUGGGUCUCUGCUCAUUUGGCGCCGAGUGGCAGGGCGAAUCCACGCAGCCGCUUCUUUUGUCGCCUGCUUGUAGAGCCAUCCCCUGGUGCAGAACUUGGUCCAUAGACCGGUGCAGAGCCGGUCAUAGAAUUCCAGCGUGCAGUCAGGUGGUUUAACAGGGAGGCUUUUAGUCAUGGGUUGUGCUUGUGGCGCCAUCUUGCUUGGGCCUCGACUGCCUCGUUUUCCUGUUAGUGUUGUUACUUGGUCCUGUCUUGCUUUGGGGGUAUUCUUCCCCCACGAGGACCGGGAUAUCCCCUGCCGGUCCACAGGAGGUAUAGCAGGGCUUCUUUAAUUUCUCGCGUGUAAGCAGUUCCUGUGCCGGGCGAUCAACCACCUCCCCCAGGCUGCGGGUUCCACUUCAGUUUAGCCCGCGUGGCCGGAUCAUGUGCUCGUGUCGGUAUGUGUUUGGUACCGUUUUGGUCCUGGUGUGAUCCAGUAUCUUUCUGUGGGCACCAUGGGCUAUUGGCAUGGGUAAUUUCUGCAGGGUUCUCGUUUUUG